ACCUACGGGGGGCAGCAGUGGGGAAUAUUGCGCAAUGGGCGAAAGCCUGACGCAGCGACGCCGCGUGAGGGAUGAAGGUCUUCGGAUCGUAAACCUCUGUCAGCAGGGAAGAACGGUCACUGUGCUAAUCAGCAGUGAAUUGACGGUACCUGCAAAGGAAGCACCGGCUAACUCCGUGCCAGCAGCCGCGGUAAUACGGAGGGUGCGAGCGUUAAUCGGAAUUACUGGGCGUAAAGCGCUCGUAGGCGGUAUGUCAAGACAAGGGUGAAAUCCCCGCGCUCAACGAGGGAUCUGCCUUUGAAACU
rnacentral:rRNA from 1 species